AGUGCGAUAACUGGGUCAAAUUGUGGCUUCAUUCCAAAGUUUCUAAGGAAUCUCCAUACUCCUUUCCAGAAUAGUUGCAUCAGUUUGCAGUCCCACCAGGAAU
rnacentral:pre_miRNA from 1 species